UGGGGAAUAUUGCACAAUGGGCGAAAGCCUGAUGCAGCAACGCCGCGUGAGUGAUGAGGGUCUUCGGAUUGUAAAGCUCUGUCUUUUGGGACGAUAAUGACGGUACCAAAGGAGGAAGCCACGGCUAACUACGUGCCAGCAGCCGCGGUAAUACGUAGGUGGCGAGCGUUGUCCGGAUUUACUGGGCGUAAAGGGUGCGUAGGCGGAUGUUUAAGUGAGAUGUGAAAUACCCGGGCUUAACUUGGGUGCUGCAUUUCAAACUGGAUAUCUAGAGUGCAGGAGAGGAGAAUGGAAUUCCUAGUGUAGCGGUGAAAUGCGUAGAGAUUAGGAAGAACACCAGUGGCGAAGGCGAUUCUCUGGACUGUAACUGACGCUGAGGCACGAAAGCGUGGGUAGCAAACAGGAUUAGAUACCCUGGUAGUCCACGCCGUAAACGAUGAGUACUAGGUGUAGGAGGUAUCGACCCCUUCUGUGCCGCAGUAAACACAUUAAGUACUCCGCCUGGGAAGUACGAUCGCAAGAUUAAAAC
rnacentral:rRNA from 1 species